GGACCGAAAAACAGGCUGAACGCCGCGUGUUAUAACGAUUCGUUUCGGGACUUAAAAUCCCUCGUCCUCUGGACGUGCCGGUUCGACCCCGGCUCGGGGCACCA
rnacentral:tRNA from 1 species